ACGGUGCCAUCGCGUCGCCCAUGCCAUGCACCCACUCACGCUCUCCUCCACCGCGCUCCUCCGCCUAAUCAAGUCGCUCUCGCCGGCGGCGGGGCCGAGGGCCCACCUCGCGGCCGCGGAGAUCCACGGCCUCCUCUUCAAGGAAGGGCUCCUCCACGCCGGGGCGCACCUCCCCACGGCGCUGCUCUCGGCCUACGCCGCGCUGGGGAGGCCGCGGCACGCGCGGGACCUGUUCGACGAGAUGCCCGACCCGGGCCUCGUCUCCCGCACCGCCAUGGCGCGCGCGCACGCGGCGUCCGGGCAGGCCGCCCAGGCGCUCGCCGUGUUCCGGGACAUGAUCGCGGACGGCGUGCUCCCGGACAACGUGGCCCUGGCGGUCGCUCUGGCCGCGUGCCACACGACAGCCUCGCUCCCUGCAGCGGGGAUGGCGGCGGCAAGGAGACCUGGGAAGAUGGUCCAUGCCAUCAUCGUGACAAGCGGCAUUGUGCCGGAUGUGUUCGUCUCCACCGAGCUGAUCAGGGUCUACGGGGAGUACGGUGAGCUGGCGCUCUCCCGGAGGUUGUUUGAUGCGAUGCCGGUGAGGAGCACCGUUUCGUGGAACGCCAUGGUGCAUCAGUAUAUCAGGCAUAGUAAUGUUGGCGAUGCUUACGAGCUGUUCCUUGCAAUGCCAAGGAGGGAUGUAGUGUCAUGGAACACGAUGAUUGCCGGGUAUUCCCUUGUUGGUCGAUUUAUGGAGGCGCUAGAGUUGUCCCGCCAGAUGAUAUCGCCGUCGUCAUGUCCAGUGUAUCCAAAUGGACCUACAAUGAGCACUGUCCUUGCUGCUUGCGCAGGUGCCGGUUGUUUAGAGACUGGGAUUUGGGUCCAUGCCUUUGUUGACAGGAACCGCAUGAAUGAUGAUGGCUCAUUGGAUCGGUCCUUGAUAGACAUGUACGUCAAAUGUGGAAGCAUCGAAAAGGCACUUCAGGUGUUCGAGAAGGCACCUGAGGCGAGGGAUCUGUACUCAUGGACGACCAUGAUUUGUGGAUUGGCAAUGCACGGCAGGGCUGCUGAUGCUCUAAAAAUGUUUGGUAUGAUGCAAGACAAUGGCAUACACCCUGAUGAUGUUACUCUUGUUGGGGUCCUAAAUGCUUGUGCACACUGUGGACUUGUGGACGAAGGCCUUCGACACUUCUACUCCUUGGAGAAGUAUGCAAUCACACCCAAAAUUGAACACUAUGGAUGUGUCAUUGAUCUUCUUGGUCGUGUUGGGCGGCUGCAAGAAGCAUACAACAUUAUCAGGACCAUGCGCAUGAAGCCUAAUGCAGUAAUCUGGGGUGCAUUCUUGAACGCAUGCAAAGUUCACAGCAACGUGGAGCUUGGCGAGAUCGCAGCAGCUGAGCUCACCAGGUUAGAUCCAGGUGACCCCUGGGCAAAGGUGAUGCUGUCCAGCUUGUAUGCAAAAUUGCAGGACUGGAACAGUCUAGCCAGGGAGAGACGGGAGAUGAACAACCUGCAGAUAAAGAAAACACCAGGGUGCAGCUCAAUUGAGCUUGAUGGGGAGGUGCAUGAGUUUGUUGCUGGUGGUUUUCAACAUCCUCAACAUGGCGAAAUUUGCACUGUACUAGAGAACGUCGAAGCACAAACACAUACUGGCUAAAGAGAUGUGGAGGCCUCAUGCCCUCAUCAGCUGAGUUUUUUGUUCUAUCAAUGAAUGUUAGCAUGUAGUAGCAAGUUUCAUGGGCACUGGCAGAUUAACUGACCUUUGUGUGUUCCAUUAGCCUGUGAAGUUCGAAACUGGUCAUAUUGCUAAGAAUUCUAGGAGGUUACUAUUAGGGCCCAGAGUAAAUGACUACGUGCUGAUGAAAAUCUGUUCAGAUUAAUCAUUCUGGAACUUGUACUAACAAUUGAAGCAAGUGGAGGCAUAGCACCAAUUGUGUCUGUGCUGCAGCUCUGGAUGUCAGUAGACAAGAGGUGUAUCAGAGAGAAGCACUUCAAGGUUAAUUUGUUGAGCAAAUUGGAGAUGCUGGAUUUUGUAUUUUGGCAGGUGAUGUAUGCUUUUCAGCAUGCCGUGUUUUAUUGAACUCGUCAAGUCCUGCAGAAGCUGAAACUGAUCAUGUAUAAGACUUUGCCUUGUGUCACAAUGGGUGCAUUUGCUGGUGGUCCUUGGAUCAGGUUGCUCAUGAGUGGUGAAUGGUCUGACGACUUCAGAAGAGGAUAGAUCUGAGAUUACCUUUCAUGCAUGUUAAGGAAGUUAAGUAGUUGAUGCCUUCAAAUAAAUGGAGAAACGUCAGGUGAACCGCGAGCAGAAUUCUGUGGCGCAUUUGUUAGCGCAGUUAGCUAGGACUCUGUUCAUACAGCUGUUCGAUUAAGCCAAAUACCUAACUGUAUUGCCCAUCUAGUAGAACCUAACUGUAACUUGUCCUCUUAAUUAAUACUAGCAAUUAGCAAACAUGUCUGUACGUUGCGAUCGGAGAAAAAAAACUAUCAAAUAUUUAGGAGAACAAUGACACGAGUG